GACGAACGCUGGCGGCGUGCUUAACACAUGCAAGUCGAGCGGUAAGGCCCUUUCGGGGGUACACGAGCGGCGAACGGGUGAGUAACACGUGGGUGACCUGCCUCUAGCUCUGGGAUAAGCCUGGGAAACUGGGUCUAAUACCGGAUAUGACUCCACGGCGCAUGUUGUGGGGUGGAAAGCCUUGUGUGGCUAGAGAUGGGCCCGCGGCCUAUCAGCUUGUUGGUGGGGUGAUGGCCACCAAGGCGACGACGGGUAGCCGGCCUGAGAGGGCGACCGGCCACACUGGGACUGAGACACGGCCCAGACUCCUACGGGAGGCAGCAGUGGGGAAUCUUGCGCAAUGGGCGAAAGCCUGACGCAGCGACGCCGCGUGAGGGAUGACGGCCUGU
rnacentral:rRNA from 1 species